GCCACUGAUGAAAUCGCCCAAUGUUUGGACGCUGCAAUCGGCUCCAAGUUCCUGCCUGUCAGGAAGAACCUACUUGGAGCCCUGCACUCGAAUGACAACAAUGGGCAAUGCUGAGGU